UACGAAGGGGGCUAGCGUUGUUCGGAAUCACUGGGCGUAAAGCGCACGUAGGCGGAUUGCUAAGUCAGGGGUGAAAUCCUGGAGCUCAACUCCAGAACUGCCUUUGAUACUGGCGAUCUUGAGUCCGGGAGAGGUGAGUGGAACUGCGAGUGUAGAGGUGAAAUUCGUAGAUAUUCGCAAGAACACCAGUGGCGAAGGCGGCUCACUGGCCCGGUACUGACGCUGAGGUGCGAAAGCGUGGGGAGCGAACAGG
rnacentral:rRNA from 1 species